GACGAACGCUGGCGGCGUGCCUAAUACAUGCAAGUAGAACGCUGAAGAGAGGAGCUUGCUCUUCUUGGAUGAGUUGCGAACGGGUGAGUAACGCGUAGGUAACCUGCCUGGUAGCGGGGGAUAACUAUUGGAAACGAUAGCUAAUACCGCAUAAAAUUGAUUAUUGCAUGAUAAUUAAUUGAAAGAUGCAACUGCAUCACUACCAGAUGGACCUGCGUUGUAUUAGCUAGUUGGUGAGGUAACGGCUCACCAAGGCGACGAUACAUAGCCGACCUGAGAGGGUGAUCGGCCACACUGGGACUGAGACACGGCCCAGACUCCUACGGGAGGCAGCAGGAGGGAAUCUUCGGCAAUGGGGGGAACCCUGACCGAGCAACGCCGCGUGAGUGAAGAAGGUUUUCGGAUCGUAAAGCUCUGUUGUAAGAGAAGAACGGGUGUGAGAGUGGAAAGUUCACACUGUGACGGUAUCUUACCAGAAAGGGACGGCUAACUACGUG
rnacentral:rRNA from 1 species